UGUUUCGGCUAGGGGGCCAUCCCGGCUUACCAACCCGAUGCAAACUGCGAAUACCGGAGAAUGUUAUCACGGGAGACACACGGCGGGUGCUAACGUCCGUCGUGAAGAGGGAAACAACCCAGACCGCCAGCUAAGGUCCCAAAGUCAUGGUUAAGUGGGAAACGAUGUGGGAAGGCCCAGACAGCCAGGAUGUUGGCUUAGAAGCAGCCAUCAUUUAAAGAAAGCGUAAUAGCUCACUGGUCGAGUCGGCCUGCGCGGAAGAUGUAACGGGGCUAAACCAUGCACCGAAGCUGCGGCAGCGACACUUUAGUGUUGUUGGGUAGGGGAGCGUUCUGUAAGCCGUUGAAGGUGUCCUGUGAGGGGUGCUGGAGGUAUCAGAAGUGCGAAUGCUGACAUAAGUAACGAUAAAGCGGGUGAAAAGCCCGCUCGCCGGAAGACCAAGGGUUCCUGUCCAACGUUAAUCGGGGCAGGGUGAGUCGACCCCUAAGGCGAGGCCGAAAGGCGUAGUCGAUGGGAAACGGGUUAAUAUUCCCGUACUUGGUGUUACUGCGAAGGGGGGACGGAGAAGGCUAUGUUGGCCGGGCGACGGUAGUCCCGGUUUAAGCGUGUAGGCUGGUUUUCCAGGCAAAUCCGGAAAAUCAAGGCUGAGGCGUGAUGACGAGGCACCACGGUGCUGAAGCAACAAAUGCCCUGCUUCCAGGAAAAGCCUCUAAGCAUCAGGUAACAUCAAAUCGUACCCCAAACCGACACAGGUGGUCAGGUAGAGAAUACCAAGGCGCUUGAGAGAACUCGGGUGAAGGAACUAGGCAAAAUGGUGCCGUAACUUCGGGAGAAGGCACGCUGACACGUAGGUGAAGUGAUUUACUCACGGAGCUGAAGUCAGUCGAAGAUACCAGCUGGCUGCAACUGUUUAUUAAAAACACAGCACUGUGCAAACACGAAAGUGGACGUAUACGGUGUGACGCCUGCCCGGUGCCGGAAGGUUAAUUGAUGGGGUCAGCGCAAGCGAAGCUCCUGAUCGAAGCCCCGGUAAACGGCGGCCGUAACUAUAACGGUCCUAAGGUAGCGAAAUUCCUUGUCGGGUAAGUUCCGACCUGCACGAAUGGCGUAAUGAUGGCCAGGCUGUCUCCACCCGAGACUCAGUGAAAUUGAACUCGCUGUGAAGAUGCAGUGUACCCGCGGCAAGACGGAAAGACCCCGUGAACCUUUACUAUAGCUUGACACUGAACAUUGAGCCUUGAUGUGUAGGAUAGGUGGGAGGCUUUGAAGCGUGGACGCCAGUCUGCGUGGAGCCGACCUUGAAAUACCACCCUUUAAUGUUUGAUGUUCUAACGUGGACCCGUAAUCCGGGUUGCGGACAGUGUCUGGUGGGUAGUUUGACUGGGGCGGUCUCCUCCUAAAGAGUAACGGAGGAGCACGAAGGUUGGCUAAUCCUGGUCGGACAUCAGGAGGUUAGUGCAAUGGCAUAAGCCAGCUUGACUGCGAGCGUGACGGCGCGAGCAGGUGCGAAAGCAGGUCAUAGUGAUCCGGUGGUUCUGAAUGGAAGGGCCAUCGCUCAACGGAUAAAAGGUACUCCGGGGAUAACAGGCUGAUACCGCCCAAGAGUUCAUAUCGACGGCGGUGUUUGGCACCUCGAUGUCGGCUCAUCACAUCCUGGGGCUGAAGUAGGUCCCAAGGGUAUGGCUGUUCGCCAUUUAAAGUGGUACGCGAGCUGGGUUUAGAACGUCGUGAGACAGUUCGGUCCCUAUCUGCCGUGGGCGCUGGAGAAUUGAGGGGGGCUGCUCCUAGUACGAGAGGACCGGAGUGGACGCAUCACUGGUGUUCGGGUUGUCAUGCCAAUGGCACUGCCCGGUAGCUAAAUGCGGAAAAGAUAAGUGCUGAAAGCAUCUAAGCACGAAACUUGCCCCGAGAUGAGUUCUCCCUGAGACUUUGAGUCUCCUGAAGGAACGUUAAAGACGAUGACGUUGAUAGGCCGGGUGUGUAAGCGCAGCGAUGCGUUGAGCUAACCGGUACUAAUGAACCGUGAGGCUUAACCUUACAACGCCGAAGGUGUUU
rnacentral:rRNA from 1 species